ACGUAUGGAGCAAGCGUUAUCCGGAUUUACUGGGUGUAAAGGGAGCGUAGGCGGUUCUGCAAGUCUGAUGUGAAAGGCCGGGGCUCAACCCCGGGACUGCAUUGGAAACUGUAGGACUAGAGUGUCGGAGGGGUAAGUGGAAUUCCUAGUGUAGCGGUGAAAUGCGUAGAUAUUAGGAGGAACACCAGUGGCGAAGGCGGCUUACUGGACGACUACUGACGCUGAGGCUCGAAAGCGUGGGGAGCAAACAG
rnacentral:rRNA from 1 species